ensembl:lncRNA
UUUUUUUUUUUUUUUUGAGACAGAGUCUUGCUCUGUCACCCAGGCUGGAGUUCAGUGGCCGGAUCUCGGUUUACUGCAACCUUCGCCUCCCAGAUUCUCCUGCCUCAGCCUCCUGAGUAGCUGGGACUACAGGUGCCCACCACCACGCCCGGCUAAUUUUUGUAUUUUUAGUGGAGAUGGGGUUUCACCACGUUAGCCAGGCUGGUCUCGAACUCCUGGCCUCAACUAAUUUGCCCACCUGGACCUCCCAAAGUGAUGGUGGGCGUGAGCCACUGCCACCUGGCAGCUUCUUGUUUUCUUCCCUCUAGUAUGGAAACAAGUUCUGGUUUUCCUAGGACAACUAGCUCUAGUCACAAAGAUCUCUUCAGUAAUCAAGCAUGGUGGAGUGGCAGAGUGAGUGUUCCGAAAGGAUAAGAAGAACAGGAGUCUUUCCCAGGCCCCAUUACAACCUCAGUACCUGUGAGUGGCAUCCCCAGCCCAACCAGAAGUUGACAAAGAGGCAUGUACCUGUGAAAAGAUACAUAUAUUUAGAACUAGCCAGCUGGACUCAGUUUAGAUGACCCCAAUUUUGUUGGCAAUAUCCCAGUUUUGUUGGGUCAGCAACAAAGGUGAUCCCAAUUUUGUUGGCAAUAUCCAAAGCAUUGUAAUCAGGAGCCAGUGGAGCUUAUGCCUUCUUCCUCCAUCAGGCCUAAUCAGGGCAUUGACCUUGGCCACAUCAAUGUCAUAGAGCUUCUUCACAGCCUGUUUGAUCUGGUGCUUGAUGGCUUUAACAUCCACAGUGAACGCAAGUGUUUUGUUGUCUUCUGUCUUCUUCAUGGCAGACUCAGUGGGCAGAGGAAACUUGGUGAUAGCAUAGUGGUCAAGCUUGUUUCUCCUGGGGACGGUCUUCCGAGGAUAUUUGGGCUGUCUCCUGAGUCGCAGUGUCUUGGGCUGUGGGAAGGUGGUGACAUACAGACCUUUUUCUUUGUGGCUGUGGACACCUUGCAACACUGCCUUCUUGGCCUUCAAAGCCUUCGCUUUGGCUUUGGCUUUAGGAGGGGCAGGAGCUUCCUUCUUAUCUUUUUGUGCCAUCUUGUGGAAAGGGCACUCCCAUUCUUUAUUGUGAAAAAAAUCCAAAUAUACAGGUAAUAGAUAUGCCUUUUCGUAAUACUAUUUGAGUAAGUUGCAGACAUCAAAAUGCUUCACCCUAAAUAAUUCAGCAUCUCUCUCCUAAGAAUGAGGACAUUUGCUUCAUAACCACAGUAUCAUUCCACCUAUGAAAGCAUCAAUUCCCCAAUAUCACUUAAUAAUAUGUUUUCAAGUUUCCAUGAUGUACAAUCAUGGAAUGUCUAUAACAGCUGUUUUUUUCUGAGCUAGGAUACUACCUACGCUAGUGUGUUGCAUUUAUGUAUUAUAUUUAAAUAAGAAGCAAUCUGAAGUAUUCACUCACUAUUUUCUAUGCAUAUCAUACAGAUAUUAUAAAGAGACAGAUGUUUACAGGAUGUUUUUCAUUGAGAGCUGGUGCUUUAGAAAAGCAUAUUUCUGUGUACACCAGAAAAGUCUAGGAGGAAUGUCUUUUAAUACAACAUUGACAGUAUAAUUGAAGCU